rnacentral:rRNA from 1 species
UACGAGGGGGGCGAGCGUUGUUCGGAAUUAUUGGGCGUAAAGGGUGCGUAGGCGGCCUGACAAGUCUGAUGUGAAAUCCCUGGGCUCAACCCAGGGCCUGCAUCGGAAACUGUCGGGCUUGAGUAUGGGAGAGGUGAGUGGAAUUUCCGGUGUAGCGGUGAAAUGCGUAGAUAUCGGAAGGAACACCUGUGGCGAAAGCGGACUCACUGGACCAUUACUGACGCUGAGGCACGAAAGCUAGGGGAGCAAACAGG